CUCAUCUAAACGAACACCAAAUAACGUUAAUUCCAGCGAGCAAUCAACAGUACCACCCGAUCAGGCAUAGAACCCCCGAACUAAAAUCAGAUUGCGGAGAGGACGGGCUAUCACGGGACGCUACGCAAUGCAUCUAGAGAGCAAAAAGCAAACGAGGUUCAGACAUCAACCGAGAGAUAAUACCUCGACUUAGGAGAGAGCACCGAGCAGCUUGAAAUCGCCGCGGGAGCAGUGGAAUCGAGGACCCAAUAGCGACGAGAGCAGGGCAACAGGGACCACCCCUCCACGGUUUCAAGCCUCAGAGUACCGUUCAGCUUGAUUGAGAGAAGAGGAGAGAGAUGCGUCGCAGCUGGAGGAGGAGUGGAGACGCCGCGGCGCAGCUCUGAAGUCGGUAUGCACCAAUGGAGCGAGAGCAAAGAAGAGAGGAG